rnacentral:lncRNA from 1 species
GUCUUUUUCACUGCCAUUUGGGGAAGAAUAAAAGAUUGGUCUUUAGAUUUGUAGUCAAUUUGUACAUCUGAGGUUAUGAGAGAAUUAAGCUGUACUUUUAUAAUUAUAUGCACACACCCCAUGCCCAGCUGAUUUUGUAUUUUUAGUAGAGACAGGGUUUCACCAUGUUGGCCAGGCUGAUCUCAAACUCCUGACCUCAGAUGAUCUGCCCACUUCGGCCUCCCACAGUGCCGGGAUUACGGGCAUGAGCCACUGUGCGCAAUCUGAUUUUAGAUUUCAAACAGUAUAGGAUAAAAUUGAGAGAACCAUUUGGCAAUAAAAAAUAUUAAAACUGAGUUUUGCAGAGAAGAGCAUGAUCUAUAUAUCUACUAUUAAAAACCAUUCAACUGAAUAUAUUUCCAUGGCCAUCACACCAUUAU